rnacentral:rRNA from 1 species
AUUGAACGCUGGCGGCAGGCCUAACACAUGCAAGUCGAGCGAGCGGAGGACGGGUGAGUAAUGUAUGGGAACUGCCCGAGCGAGGGGGAAAACUACUGGAGAAGGUGGCUAAUACCGCAUACUGUCGAAUAACACCUAUGGGACUAGCUAGUAGGUAUGGGAAGGGUUUACCUCUGCGACGAUCCCUAGCUGGUCUGAGUGGAUGAUUGGCCACACGGGGCCUGAGACACGGCCCAGACUCCUACGGAGGCAGAAGUGGGGAAUAUUGCACAAUGGGAGCAAGCCUGAUGUAGCCAUGCCGCGUGUAUGAAGAAGGCCCUAGGGUUGUAAAGUACUUUCAGUCGGGAGGCGUUACCGACAGAAGAAGCACCGGCUAACUCCGUGCCAGCAGCCGCGGUAAUAC